UUGUGCUUAUUAUAAGGUUUGAUUUAUUCGGAAGUAUAAAGGAUUGUGAGCGACUACUUCGUAAAAUUAGAUAAAACAGGAAGUAAAGUUUAUAUAUAAAACACACAAUGUAGCCUAGAAUGGAGAGAAAUCGAAAUCAUUCCAUAAGAAUGCAAAGUCUGAUGUUGACGGUCAUAGUAUUAUGGCUUGUGAAAGCUGCACAUGGUCAGGGCGUUCCACCCUGUGGUCCCGAGGAGUUUGGAUCAUCAUGUCAACUCACUUGCCACUGUGCCGACCUUGCGUCCUGUAAUGCUGAUGGCUCGUGUUCAUCGUGCAGUUAUAGAUGGGGAGGCCCGACCUGUCAAAUACAGCUGGCUAAAUUAGAUCCAUCAGCCUUGACCCUUACACAGCAUGAUACCAAGGGUAGUAAUGAAGCUGGGAAUGCUGUUGAUGGAGAUAUCAACACAUAUGCUUGGGCUCAAAAUAUGGACAAUGAGUCGAUUGCAUGGUGGAGGGCCAGUUUAGGAAAGAAGCUACCUAUACAUCAUGUUAACAUCAAAUUCUUUCAGGGUGUUGGUGAUAACAGCGUACCGCCUCGUCGCCCUGGUUUUUCUGUCGCCAUCACAAAUGAGACAACCGAUUAUUCUGACUCUGACACCAACUUCUGCCAUCAAGACCAAUCGUAUAAUGGCGAUCAGCUCACAGAAGUUUCCUUAAUGCAAUGCUCAGGCAUUGGUCAACACAUCACCGUGUUCAACCAAAGGGGAGAUAGAAAAAAUGACUGGUCACGUUACGCAAAUCUGCAGCUUGCUGAAGUGGAAAUUAUGGAAGAUAUUGGCUGCAGUGAUGGAACAUGGGGUCAGAAAUGCGAUCAGGAGUGUGGCAAAUGUCAGGAUGGGAAAUGUUCCCGUGACGGAGGCAAAUGUGAAGGAAAUUGUAUUGAAGGCUGGUAUGGAGAGAAAUGUGACACACCUUGUUCCGAGUUUUGUGCUGGAUGUGAUCAGACGUCUGGGAAGUGUACGGCCUGUGUUGGGGGAAAUCGAAGAUCUGGGGAAAUGUGCGACCAGUGCCCACAAUGUCUGAAUAACCAAUGCCAUGUAAACGGAACUUGUAAAGUGUCAUGUGCUGACAAAACCCAGCAUGGGGAUAAUUGCGAUAUACCUUGUUCAGUUACGAUUAAAGAUUGCGUUGAAUGUGAGUCGGUAAACAAUAAUGCUCUCUGUUCAAAAUGUGUCGAUGGUCUGUAUGGGUCCAGGUGUAUGGAAAAAUGUCCAGAUAACUGUGAGUCUUGUGAUAACGACACGCUGUGUACCGAAUGUAUGAAAGGAUACUCUGGACCAACUUGCAGUGCGAUUUGCAAGCAUGAUCAUUGUUCCCAUUGUAAUGUCUCUGGCGAUUGUUUGAAGUGUGAAAAAGGGUUUUUCUAUGAAAAAUAUCAAAAGAAAAUAUGUGUCAGCUGUACAAAUAUUACUGAGUUAAGUAACUGCUAUGAUUGUGAAAGUUAUGUCAAGUGCAUAGAAUGUCAACCAGGGUUUUAUCUGAAAUCUGCAAAUCAGUGUGAAAAAUGUCCCGACCAUUGUCUAGAGUGUUCGUCAGAAAGUACGUGUUCCAAGUGCGAGUUGGAAUGGAGCGGCGUUAGUUGCAAAUGUGGGCCCUACUGUAACCAAACCUCUACACUCGCCGAUUGGUGCAUUGAGACUAACGGAUCCUGCACGAAAGGCUGUUCCGGGGAGAAUUACACAAGUACUUGUGACAAACACUGUCCAGGAAUUGAUUGCCUUGUGUGUACACAGAAUGACGGCCAAUGUCUCCAAUGUGUUAGCGGUAAAUAUGGGCAGUACACGUCCUGUAGUGACAAUUGCGGCCACUGCUUGGAUGGAAUAUGUGACAUCCGUGAUGGUACCUGCAAGGGGGCGUGUCACAACACUUACCAUGGCGAUAAAUGUAAUCAGACUUGUCCUGCUAAUUGUAACUCUACAGAUUGUAUACAAAGCACAGGGGCGUGUUUUGGUUGUAUAGGAGGUUUCUUUGGUGACAAAUGUGAUCAGACAUGUCCUGCUAAUUGUAACUCUACAGAUUGUAAACAAAGCACAGGGGCUUGUUCUGGGUGUAAAAAAGGUUUCUUUGGUGACAAAUGUGAUCAAGAAUGCAAUGCAAACUGUUUGGAUUCUAAUUUUGUUCAUGGCUGUCAACAGCAAGAUGGCAAUUGCAAAAAUUGUAAACCUGGGUUUUAUGGUGAUAAAUGUGAACAAAAAUGUAACCCUAAAUGUCGCUAUGACGGUGGGGCGUCAGGGUGUAGGAAGUCUGACGGUCGAUGCCAUUCAUGUGAAGACGGAUACUACAGUCUAAGCUGUGAAUUAAACUGCAGUGCAAAUUGUAUAAGCAAAUGCGAUAAAGACUCUGGUCAUUGCUUUGGAUGCAAAAGCGUGUUCUAUGGCCCAUUCUGCAACAAAUCAUGCCCAAACAACUGCGCAAUGAACUGUGAUCAAGAUUCGGGCAAAUGUUUUGGCUGCAAACCGGGGUCGUAUGGUUUUAAGUGUACAGACAUCUGUUCGAGAACUUGUGCUGUAGAAGGAUCCGUGGCGGAUUGUGCCCAAGAUGAUGGGACUUGUGUUACAUGUCCGUUUGGAAAGAAUGGAAGAUUUUGUAAUAAAACCUGUCCAGGGUUUUGUUCGAGACAAGAUGGGGAGAAGGGCGUUGGACCGUGUGACCAGAUGACGGGCGUGUGUAUACACAACUGCCAGCCCGGGUACCACAGUGACACUUGUAACAUAAGAUGCAACGAUAGAUGUAACGGUACGCUGUGUAACCGAAUAACUGCGGAGUGCCUCAACGGCUGUGUAGAUGGAUUUAGUGGGACAAAUUGUGCAAAGAAGAUAGACCAAAGUGAUGGUGGUAAUUCUGGUUGCUGUUGCUGUCAUCCUUUUCAUUUAUUGGGAGGAGAUGGAUUUGCAAGAAAAAGGGCCGACGAACGAAACUCCCUUGAAGCAUCUGCAUUCCUCUCCCGAAGAAAAGGAAACUCUCAUUAAAGGUACGCUAGUAUGCAUUACGGGAAAAGAAGAGCAGCCCCUAUGAGGUGAAAGGAGCAGAUAUCGAUCUAAUUUAACAGUGACCUUGAUCUUGACCCUAGGGACCCCAAAGGCAAUCCCUUGAAAGCUUCCUCAUUUUGAUAUCUUCAAGAAACUGCCAUCCGGCCUUCUGAAUGAGGCCAAAGACUCUGGAUUGCCCGCCAACAGAGGAAAAUGCCGGUACAAAAUGCUCUAUCCAUCGUCAGUGAACAGAGAGACCUGGGAGAUAUACCACCCCCUGAGCUUGAUAUCCUUUUGGCCAGGUUUUUUCUUGCAAUUCAAAAGCGUGAAGGCACUUUAACCAGCAUACAAUAAUCCAUUGAAUGUUACCUAAAGGAGAAAAAAGUAAACUUUAGCAUUAGCUAAGAUGAACUUCUCGGUCAUUCCAACCAAAUCUUGAUUUCCAAGCGAAAACAUCUGAAGGCACAGGUACUUUAACCAGCAUACAAUAAUCCAUUGAAUGUUACCUAAGGGAGAAAAAAAAUAAACGUUAGCAUUAGCUAAGAUGAACUUUUCGGUCAUUCCAACCAAGUCUUGAUUUCCAAGCGAAAACAUCUGAAGGCACAGGGCAAAGGGAAUUAAAAUCUAAAGCUGAGCCACUGACCAAAGAGGAAUUCCAAAGGUUAAGAGACAGACAGCUUCUUGGCAAAGGUGAUGCACAGAUUUUACUUCUAACAGUAUGGUUGAAUAAUGGUGUUCACUUAGGGAUGCGUGGCAGACAGGACCAUACAAAACUUCUUUGUGGAGAUAAGAGCUGGAAAGGUCACCACACAAUCGAGAGUACCUGGAAUUUACAGAGAAAAGUACAAAAACUAGAAAUGGAUCCAGCCGAAACUGUAACAGAGAAGUGGCACCCAAGCUUUUGGCAACACCUGGUGACGAACUAUGUCCAGUAUCCAUCUACAAGGAGUAUUAACAUCGAACACCAACCGAUAUGCUUGAUGAUUAUAGCAGAUUUUACCUACAUGGCUUCAACCAAUUAAUACACUCAAAACAGAAGUUUGGUAUUGUCCUCAGCCUGUUGGACAAACUUGGACAAAUAAUGAAACAAUUGGCUAAAAAGGGAAACUUUGAAGGCCGAAAAGUGAAUCACUCCACAAGAAAAACGUUUACCCAAACUCUUGUUCAGGCAGGUCGACCACCAACAGAAAUUGCCCAUCUAGGAGGUUGGAAAAGCCUACAAACAAUAAACGCCUAUUCAACCCCAACUUUAGACCAGCAAGGGCAUGCGUCUGAUAUCGAAUCUGAUCUGAUGAGGGGGGUUCGGGGGGCCUCCUCAGGAUAAAAAAGAUGGAAAAUGGAACUAACAUGUUGAGCUCUGAGGUGUAUUUGGAGGGAUUUAUAAGUUCGAGGCCGCCGACUUUGUAGUUACCAAGUGAUUGAUUUCGGCCCAGAAAGCUCUCUAGCACAGAGAAGCUUUGGCUGAUCUUCCUUUUCUUCUGAUAUCAGGUUUUACCUUAGCCCUCGACCUUGGUGCCAUUUUGGCUAGAUUUUUUCUUUUCAUUUUUCAAAUUGAUGUUACGCACAUGCGUAAGUGCGUAACGCUGGCUACGCCCCAUGGCAAUGUGUCAUAUAUUUUGAUUACUUAACAUUUCCAUAUGAAUGGUUAAAUAUGUUAUGCAUUUAAGAGCUGCUCUUUGUUAUAUGUAAAUAUUUUUAAAAAUAAAUUUAGUGUUUAAACUUUGAAUCCUUUAAGUGCAUGAAGUGAUUGACUUCUCUACAAUACGACUGCCCUCGGACAAAUAACAGGGCCAAUAUCAAAUCACUUGUAUAUAAACAUACAUGUAUAAUAUAGUAAUAUA